rnacentral:rRNA from 1 species
UACGUAGGGGGCUAGCGUUAUCCGGAAUUACUGGGCGUAAAGGGUGCGUAGGUGGUUUCUUAAGUCAGAGGUGAAAGGCUACGGCUCAACCGUAGUAAGCCUUUGAAACUGAGAAACUUGAGUGCAGGAGAGGAGAGUAGAAUUCCUAGUGUAGCGGUGAAAUUCGUAGAUAUUCGCAAGAACACCAGUGGCGAAGGCGGCUCACUGGUCCGGAUCUGACGCUGAGGCGCGAAAGCGUGGGGAGCAAACAGG